UUUAGGGUCAAACAGUACAAAUUGCUCAGCUACCUCAAGGCCAAUAUGUUCAAAUCAUCCAUCCUAUGCAAGCUCAGAUCCAUCACGAAUCUGAAGGAAGUAGCGUGGAUAAAUCUCAACCCAGUCCCAAGCAGAGAUAGUUAAAUUGUAUCAGACAUAAAUGGGACUGUAUCAGCGUGUUUUCAAGGUCACUUGAAACUACGCGUACAGUCCCUUUAAUUAGUCCCUUUUAAUACGUUCUCUUCUAAACAAACAAGAUAAAGAUAAGAAUGUAAAAACGACU